AAUGAGUUAUUUCAUAGUUUUCUCCUUCACUCUUUUCUUUGUUAACACAUUUAGAUCACCGGUGACCUACAGAGGAUUUUACGCAAAUAGUGUCGAUCUUUAAUAGCAACUCGACAUCAUAGUAAUAUAAUGGAUGUUAAAAGUUUGGCGAAUAUUGCCGUUCCAAGUUAUGCUCAAGGGCUUCGAAUUUUCGUGGUUGAUCCUGACACUACUUCACUAAUGCACACAGCAGCCAUACUCGAAGAACAUUCUUAUAAAGUGACAACGAUUGAAUUAGCAACUAUUGCCUUGUCAAUGAUUCGAGAAAGGCAGAACCAAUAUGACCUUAUCAUUGCUGAAGUCAACAUGCAAGAGAUGGACGGAUUCACAUUUCUCAAGCACAUUUUGCAUGAAAAAGACAUCCCAA